AUUUUGCUGGUAAUUGGUUGUAUUGUGUAUUUUAUAUCAGGAGAGUAUAGGCCCACAGUUACUGAUGAUAUUCAGAGAGCUGCAACUCGUUCUUCAACCAGAGAUCUACACAGCUUGACUCAAAGAGGCUCAUUUGUGUUUACAGAGAGCAGAGGCUAUCACGACAGCAGUGAUCAGAAUGAUAGGCAUUUUUGUGGAUCCUUGGAUUGUGAAGAGGGUACUAAAAGCAUGCCUCGGAUUGCAACAUGAUAUGUUUAAUAUAUUUUGUUUGGGUAAGUAAAUGUUAGAAAUUAUAACAUUG